rnacentral:rRNA from 1 species
AUUGAACGCUGGCGGCAGGCCUAACACAUGCAAGUCGAGCGAGCGGCGGACGGGUGAGUAAUGUCUGGGAAACUGCCUGAUGGAGGGGGAUAACUACUGGAAACGGUAGCUAAUACCGCAUACCAUAAGAUGUGACCAGAUGGGAUUCGCUAGUAGGUGGGGUAACGGCCCACCUAGGCGACGAUCCCUAGCUGGUCUGAGAGGAUGACAAGCCACCCUGGAAGUGAGACAGGGUCCAGACGCCUACGGGAGGCAGCAGUGGGGCAUAUUGCACAAUGGGCGCAAGCCUGAUGCAGCCAUGCCGCGUGUGUGAAGAAGGCCUUCGGGUUGUAAAGCACUUUCAGCGGGGAGGCGUUACCCGCAGAAGAAGCACCGGCUAACUCCGUGCCAGCAGCCGCGGUAAUUC